rnacentral:rRNA from 1 species
GACGAACGCUGGCGGCGUGCUUGACACAUGCAAGUCGAACGCUGAAGCUUGGUGCUUGCACUGGGUGGAUGAGUGGCGAACGGGUGAGUAAUACGUGAGUAACCUGCCCUUGACUCUGGGAUAAGCCUGGGAAACUGGGUCUAAUACUGGAUACGACAUGUCACCGCAUGGUGGUGUGUGGAAAGGGUUUUACUGGUUUUGGAUGGGCUCACGGCCUAUCAGCUUGUUGGUGGGGUAAUGGCUCACCAAGGCGACGACGGGUAGCCGGCCUGAGAGGGUGACCGGCCACACUGGGACUGAGACACGGCCCAGACUCCUACGGGAGGCAGCAGUGGGGAAUAUUGCACAAUGGGCGGAAGCCUGAUGCAGCGACGCCGCGUGAGGGAUGACGGCCUUCGGGUUGUAAACCUCUUUCAGCACGGAAGAAGCGAAAGUGACGGUACGUGCAGAAGAAGCGCCGGCUAACUACGUG